rnacentral:tRNA from 1 species
GCGAACGUAGUUCAGUGGUAGAACAUCACCUUGCCAAGGUGGGGGUCGCGGGUUCGAAUCCCACAUCCUCC